GUUUAACGACUGAGCCACCCAGGCGCCCUCAUUUCCCUCUUUUUACACAUAGCACCAUAGCACUAGAAGGGCCGUUAUUAACACUGUUCCUCUGUUUUAGAUUGCAGAAGAUAUUGCUAAGAGCUCAGGCUUUGGAACAGCCUGGAAUUCAGUCUGAAUUCAGAGCCAGCAACUAAGAGCUUUGUGAUCUCAGCCAUGAAGACAGGUGAAAUUUUCCAGGAGGUGUCUUCUAUGGAGAAAUUGAACCAGAGAGGUCUGACUUCCAGGCAUGAGAGAGAGAGAAAGCACAAGCAGGUUGAGCGGGAGAG